rnacentral:snoRNA from 1 species
AGCUCACCAAUGAUGGCAAUCAAAUGUCUGAACCAAUGAAUCCAUAGUGAUUUAACUAUUUUUAUGAACUCUGAGGUGAGCU